rnacentral:rRNA from 1 species
CCUACGGGAGGCAGCAGUGGGGAAUAUUGCACAAUGGGGGAAACCCUGAUGCAGCGACGCCGCGUGAAGGAAGAAGUAUUUCGGUAUGUAAACUUCUAUCAGCAGGGAAGAAAGUGACGGUACCUGACUAAGAAGCCCCGGCUAACUACGUGCCAGCAGCCGCGGUAAUACGUAGGGGGCAAGCGUUAUCCGGAUUUACUGGGUGUAAAGGGAGCGUAGGCGGCGAUGCAAGUCAGAAGUGAAAGCCCGGGGCUCAACCGCGGGACUGCAUUGGGAACUGGCGCGCUGGAGUGCCGGAGGGGUAG